rnacentral:sRNA from 1 species
ACUCUGAGGCAUUACACUACACGGUGGAAGGCUGAUUCCUAUUCUGUCGUCUUGAUUGCAAAUAUACUGCCAGUAGUAUGUCUGGGAACAAAGAGCAGCCAGAAAACAAUCUAUUUUUAUCACUUGGUUCUACUUUUAAGUUGCUAAACCUUUUGAACUCAUGCAAUUUAAAGAUGAACCAAACACUAAGAAUAGCCCAGGACUCUGCAAAGCCAAGUACCAGGGAUUCCUUUGUCCCUUAGUUAAGCCUAUAGGCCACUUGGAAAGCUCUUUCAGAAAUCCCAGUAGUUAACAAUAAUUUGCAUGUAACUUAUCUUAACCACAGAAAAUGGUUAUUCGUCUGUAACCUCUAAAGAGGCAUUUUUCGUUUGCUGACCUGUGGUGAGGCGAUGUGUCUACUGUAUUUAAACAUAUUUUGCAGGUUGGUCUCCCUGGACUGAAGAGAGGGAGAAUAGAAGCCCAAGACUAAGAUUCUCAAAAUGGUUUAUUACCCAGAACUCUCUGUCUGGGUCAGUCAAGAACCAUUUCCAAACAAGGACAUGGAGGGAAGGCUUCCUAAGGGAAGACUUCCUGUCCCAAAGGAAGUGAACCGCAAGAAGAACGAUGAGACAAACGCUGCCUCCCUGACUCCACUGGGCAGCAGUGAACUCCGC